AUUGAACGCUGGCGGAAUGCUUUACACAUGCAAGUCGAACGGCAGCACGAACUUCGGUCUGGUGGCGAGUGGCGAACGGGUGAGUAAUGUAUCGGAACGUGCCCAGUCGUGGGGGAUAACGUAGUGAAAAUUACGCUAAUACCGCAUACGAUCUAUGGAUGAAAGCGGGGGAUCGCAAGACCUCGCGCGAUUGGAGCGGCCGAUAUCAGAUUAGGGAGUUGGUGGGGUAAAGGCCCACCAAGCCAACGAUCUGUAGCUGGUCUGAGAGGACGACCAGCAACACUGGAACUGAGACACGGACCAGACUCCUACGGGAGGCAGAGUGGGGGAAGUUUGGACAAUGGGCGAAAGCCUGGUCCAGCCAUGCCGCGUGCAGGAUGAAGGCCCUCGGGUUGUAAACUGCUUUUGUAAAGAACGAAAAGGUUUCUACUAAUACUAGGAGCUCAUGACGGUACUGUAAGAAUAAGCACCGGCUAACUACGUGCCAGCAGCCGCCGCCG
rnacentral:rRNA from 1 species